GUAGGUGGCAAGCGUUGUCCGGGAAUUAUUGGGCGUAAAGCGCGCGCAGGCGGUCCUUUAAGGUCUGAUGUGAAAGCCCACGGGCUCAACCGUGGAGGGUCAUUGGAAACUGGGGGACUUGAGUACAGAAGAGGAAAGCGGAAUUCCACGUGUAGCGGUGAAAUGCGUAGAGAUGUGGAGGAACACCAGUGGCGAAGGCGGCUUUCUGGUCUGUAACUGACGCUGAGGCGCGAAAGCGUGGGGAGCAAACAGGAUUAGAUACCCUGGUAGUCCACGCCGUAAACGAUGAGUGCUAAGUGUUAGGGGGUUUCCGCCCCUUAGUGCUGCAGCUAACGCAUUAAGCACUCCGCCUGGGGAGUACGGCCGCAAAGGCUGA
rnacentral:rRNA from 1 species